rnacentral:lncRNA from 1 species
ACUUGACAUGUGGUGUUCUACUUCCCAUCUAUACUAAAUUACUGAUCACUAUCCGUGUGAUACUUUAUUUGUAUACCAGAUAAAGUUGAUCCCUCCAAUGUAGUAGGGUAACAUAAUAGUAACUGAUUAGAAGGAGGGCGUGAGAGGGCCGGCCGGGGGUUAUGAUGGAAGCCUUUCAAUCCAGUAUCAAGGAUGAGAUUAAUAUAUUCCCUGAUCUCUUGGGAUCAACUUCAUGGAUACAAUAGAGAAGUCAUAGAAGCAUUUACUUAUGACACACGAUCAAGGUGGAGAAGAUCAUACUAACUAUUUCAGAAGCAUGAGAUAAUAAAAUCCGUGCUCUCUUAGAAUCAAGAAAUGCAAAUAGCUUGUCACUUAGUAAGUUCAACAUAUGGAAAUUGCAGAAUACUUGGGAAGACAACACAGUUAUCAUGAAUUAAUUUAUUUUACUUAUAAGAAAGAUACUUGAACAGAGGAAGACAUGUGGAUGUAGGAUCCAUCAAGGGUUAGUGCACGGAGAAGAGUAGCAAACUAGCAACUACAAAAAUUUUAAAUGAAAAAGGUUGAAACUUAAACUAAGCACAUACAAUAGAAAACCUGGAGAAAAGUUAUGACUGCCGUUAUGCUUUUUCUGAAUACACUACAGUAUCCGCCCUUUCCCUUGUUUUGAAUACACAGUAGUAAGCUUAGAAAAUGAAUACAUUGAUGUGAAUUAUUAAAAGAUUGGGCAAACCGAGAUAAUGAAGUAAAUGGUACAAAAUGCAUCUAUGUAUUCCAUUCUAAAUUCGUGUACUUGAGUCUUAGUUGUUGUUCACAGAUUCGAUUUAGUUUUCUGCGUGUUGUAACUCUACAAAUCCCAUAAAAUCUACUGUUUUUUACAUGUCCUGCUUCUACUGCUGCUAGAAGCUAGAAUGAUGAAACAUACCAAGUCCUGAAGAGUUUCUCCCUUUGUUUCAUCUCUGCUGUUGGACUGGAUUGGAGGGAAGAUGAUGUAGGCUAACUUAUGCGAAGACUUGGCUUUCCUCAAUCUGCAUCAAGAUGACGUGUUGCUAUCUACCAUCCUUGAGAAAGCAUCAAAAGGAUUUAUUUAUGUCAUCAUCAUACAUUUUCUUGCCCUUUGUUUAAACAUCUGAGGAACCACUUUCAGUAUCUUGUGCAUGCUGUAGGUUGCAACAUAACAAAGGUCAAAUGGUAGAUAAUAGAAAGUAUGUAAAGUUCAUCAUAAGGAUAUAUAUAUAUAUAUAUAUAUAUAUAUAUAUAUAUAUAUAUAUAUAUAUAUAUAUAUAUAUAUAUAUAAAAUCUUCAUUGGUCCUCUAGAAAAAAUCUUCUCAUGACUGUAGUCCUGAAUGUAUCAAAUCUUUCUGUACAACUGGACACCAUACUUCUCCUUUUUUUUUGAAUUUUCACCGGGGGGAGAUUUCCCCACCUGAAUUUCCAUAUAUGGGGCCAAAACGCCCAGGUAACCAGCAUGCACNNNNNNNNNNNNNNNNNNNNNNNNNNNNNNNNNNNNNNNNNNNNNNNNNNNNNNNNNNNNNNNNNNNNNNNNNNNNNNNNNNNNNNNNNNNNNNNNNNNNNNNNNNNNNNNNNNNNNNNNNNNNNNNNNNNNNNNNNNNNNNNNNNNNNNNNNNNNNNNNNNNNNNNNNNNNNNNNNNNNNNNNNNNNNNNNNNNNNNNNNNNNNNNNNNNNNNNNNNNNNNNNNNNNNNNNNNNNNNNNNNNNNNNNNNNNNNNNNNNNNNNNNNNNNNNNNNNNNNNNNNNNNNNNNNNNNNNNNNNNNNNNNNNNNNNNNNNNNNNNNNNNNNNNNNNNNNNNNNNNNNNNNNNNNNNNNNNNNNNNNNNNNNNNNNNNNNGGCAAAGCAACAAGCAUCAGGCAUCUCGAGGGCUUGCCAGGCAGCCCAGCCAUGCAUCGGAUGCCUGCUUUAGAGCAACAGGCAGACGCACCCGCCAAAGCACGGCGUCCUCUCUACACAAUUGCAGCAGUCGCGGGAGUGACGGGGGCAACCCCUGGAAGACCACCGCGUUGCGGUGCUUCCAAAGUUGCCAACAACGGAGAAGGAGGAAGGUCGAGCCCGUCCGCACCGGCACUGAGCCAGGGGGGACAUAGUGUGCAGCAGCCCAACGGAUGAGACCGCCGAGGCAACUCCCAUCACAGACCAGAAGCGCUGAGCAAAAGGGCAGUCAAAGAUGAGAUGGUCCGCCAACUCCAGGGGCGCCGAGCAGAUGGGGCAGCCAGCCCCCGCCGCCUCCAGAAUGUGCUUCCGUAGGAGGACGUCUCUUGUCUGGAUCCGGGCCUGGACCAAGAGCCAAACGAAGAAGCGGACGUGACUUGGAGCGUAGUUCUUCCAGACAAAAUCAGCGUGCGGCGCAAGCACCCCACCAAAGUGGCAUAGUUGGUAGAGGCUGGCGGAGGAGAGCGCAACACCCUUGUCACAGCCUGGGCGGAGGGAUCGAAUAUCCGGCUCCGUAGUGAGGGCCAGCGCCCGGAUGAUUGGGAGGAGUAUCGCGCACUCCCUGGCGCCCACAUGGUUCAGGCGGGGGACGAGGACCCCAGCAAGCCCGUGUUGGAAGAAGUGAGCAACCGAGGCCGACGGCAUGGUGGUGUGAGAGAAGAGGGAGCUCAUCUGGACGGAUAGGGCACCACCGGGAAGCCAGGAGUCCAGCAGAACGCCGUAGUGCGGCCGUCACCGACGGAGACAGCGGUGACCGCCCGGUACACAUGCAUAAGCUUGGCGAGGGAGGCCCAGUGCGGUCCGGGGAGCGACACCGCCACUGCCGAGGUCAGCAGCGAGCGUCCCAGCUCACCCCAGACCCAGCGAGCCCAUGGUGCAUCCUGGCGCGAGUGAAGGCGAUGAAGGAGCUUCAGGAGGAGGCACCGGUUCUGGACCGGGAGGGCGCGAAUCCCCAGCCCCACCUCAUCCUUGGGACGGACGGCGCGGUCCCAGGCGAUGAGACACUGGGCCCCAGAGGCUUUGUCUGUCGCGGUCCAGAGGAAGGAGCGGCGCAGGGCGUCGAUCGCCCGGAGCACAGAGGGCGGGACCUCCAUCGCAAACAUGGCAUACGUGGGGAGAGCGUCCAGCACGGCGUUGAGCAGCACCAGGCGCCCCCCCGAAGGACAGAAGCUGAGCGCGCCAGCCAGAGAGGUAGCGCUCAGCUUUGGCAAUGAGCGGGAGGAAGUCGUCCAUGGUGAGCUUGUGGUUGGAGAGCGGCAGGCCGAGGUAGAUUUGAGGGAAGCUCCCAACACAGCAGCCCAACUCACGGAUCAUGUCGUGAAGAUCAUCCUCGAGGACAUGGACGGGCGCGAUGGUGCUUUUGUGGAAGUUGAUGACUAGCCCCGUCGCAGCCGCGAAGUCGUCCAGGAUGCCCUUGAGACGCCGAACCGCGCUCAGCUCCGCAUGCAUGAUGAUGAUGGUGUCAUCAACGUACUGAAGGACAAGCGGGGGCGCAUCGGCAAACAGAGGCUGGCGCAUCCCACCAUCCUUCUUGAUCAUCUGUUGCAGCACGUCCGCGACGAGGAGGAACAGGUAGGGGGAGAGGGGGUCCCCCUGCCGCAAUACCUUCUUGCAUUUGAUCCAUCGCACGAGCACGCCAUUUGGUACCACCGCGGACAUGGACGACUGGAAGAUUGAGUCCAUCCAGUCACACCAGAGAGACGGGAAGCCACGCACCUCCAUAAUUGGGUGAAGGCUUCGCCAGUCGAUGGAGUCAAGGGCUUUGGCAAAGUCCAGCUUCAAGACCAACGAGGGAGCCCGGCGGGUCUCGCAGCAUUGGACAAUUUCCGUUGCAUACAUAAAGUUCUCGGAGAUGUUCCGCCCUUUAAUGAACCCUGAUUGGUCCACAUCCACCACGUCCGAGAUUUGUUGCUGAAGGCGCGUGGUCAGAACCUUGCACGGGAUCUUGAUAUCGUAGUUCUGGAGCGAGAUGGGUCGGAAACCACCUGGAGCGAGCACCCCCUCGGCCUUGGGAAGCAGCACAACAUGCGCGCGGUUGAUACAGGAGAGGUUCACGGAGUUGUCAUAGAACCCCUCCAUCAACCGCAUCACAUCGCCGGAGACCAGCUCCCAGGCGGCCUGGUAGAAGCCCGGACCAAGGCCAUCGGGCCCCGAGGCGCUGGUUCUGUCGAGGCUGGCGACAGCCGCCUUGAUCUCGGCCAUCUCGAAGGGGGCAACCAGUUUGNNNNNNNNNNNNNNNNNNNNNNNNNNNNNNNNNNNNNNNNNNNNNNNNNNNNNNNNNNNNNNNNNNNNNNNNNNNNNNNNNNNNNNNNNNNNNNNNNNNNNNNNNNNNNNNNNNNNNNNNNNNNNNNNNNNNNNNNNNNNNNNNNNNNNNNNNNNNNNNNNNNNNNNNNNNNNNNNNNNNNNNNNNNNNNNNNNNNNNNNNNNNNNNNNNNNNNNNNNNNNNNNNNNNNNNNNNNNNNAUAGCGCCGGCAGGUCGAAGUGCCAGACGGGAACCCCCGCCCGACCGAGGAGGGCGCAGUAGAAGGCAUGGAGGGCCUCCGCCUUGGUCGCAUGGCCGACAACGAUCGUGCCACCGACAUCCAGAGCUAUGAUUCGGUUUGACUGGAAGCGCUGCGAUGCCUGGGCAUGGAAGAAUCAGCCAUACUUCUCCUUUAAUCCCAUCAAUUCCUCCAUACUUGUCUUUUAAUCUCAUCAGUUCCUGUGAUGCGCAAGAAUGACAAUACAUGGUCAGCGAUGAUGCAUGCAUUUUCAUGUUUAACAAAGCAGAGAGACAUCAUGGGACAAAAAUAAAUAUAGCAGAUCCACACCUCUGAACAAAUAAAAUCACGGAAAGUGAUAUCUGAUAUCAUUAACAAAGCUUGUCAAAAAUAAAUAUACCAGAUCCACACCUCUGAACAAAAUCACGGAAAAUAAAUAUAUAGUUAUAUACCUCCUCGGUUUCAUGGAGUCUGUACAGAAAGUUCUCCUCUGAUCGUACGUUGGCUGUGCCUUGAGAGAGAGCAGGUUAACACUUGUAAUCACCAGCAGCUAUGCAGAUUUUGUGCCAAGCAUCCAUCCUGAUAGAAAAGACGGGGGUGGCGGCGGCUCAAGAUCCACGUUUCGCGGGGCAUCCGGUCGCACGACAACUCCUCCUGGCCUCUGCAGUAGGACGACGACGUGGCAUGGCGCGACCGGCGGCAAGGUGCACUGGGGCGGCAAGAGGAGGUGAAGGCGUAGCCGCGCGCGCCACGAGACGGCCGGCGGUGAUAUGAAGAUGAGGGACCGUGAGAGAUGUGGUGGAGACGGGAUAAAAGAAGGAGUAGACACGCACACGCGGUGGUGAAUUUUACGAUUCUGGAAAUCGUGGCCCAUGAAGCGGACUCGUGGAAGUCAAAGUGCAUCCGUUACGGAAGUCCAGGAAUCAGAAGAUAAUUACGCCUUGGAGCCGGACGGGUGGCCUCACAUGCCCUCAUCGUCAGUUACAGAAGCGGUGUUUUUUUCUGGUAAACUGUUCGGUUGUUUACAUGGAACCGAGAAAAAUGAUUGGACGGCAACUGCUGACAUGGCAUGUGUGCUGAUGUGGAUAGGCUGCAUGUCAAGAGAAAUCAUAUAGUGGGAGUAUUAUAGAUUAUAGAUGUGACUCAUCUGAUUAGGCGGAUUCAAUGGCUAAUUAUGACCCUCGAGAUCCGCCGCAACUUGUGCUUUUUUAUGAUGGUACAGUACAGGUAGUAGAUGUGUGGAUUGUACUAUAUUCUAUUGAGUUGGCAAGGUAUGCAAGAUAAUUUUGCUUCUAUCGAGUUCUCUAGAGAUCAUAAUGUCUCUAGAGAUCACACACACAGACAACCAAAAAAAUGUUCACUUAGGGAUCUCACGUACAACAACAAAACGGAGCCACACAUAAGUAAUAACUGAGCAAAUUUGACCUCAAGUGAAAGAGCUAAACAAAACCUUCUCACUACAUUCCAUUCACUUCUUAGUAUCAUCCUACAAGUGCAGAUUUUGAAUGCACAAGCGGCAACCAAUCAAAUAAAAAUGAUAUCUAUCAUCAACACACUAGAUUAUAUUAAUAUGUUUAUUACACGGGCAGUUCAGCCACAGAUUAUGCAAGCAAAAACACUGACAAGAAAACACGGGCAGUUUGGCUCGGUGUCGGGUUGGAUUUCAUUGUAAAACUGGUUCUGGCCGAGAGGCCUCCUUGAGUAAUGAAAUUCUUUUUUUCCCACAAAAAAGAAAAAAAAAAGGUUAAUUUUGAUUGGCCUUUUUAAUAAGAUGGCCGCAUGCAUCAUUCUGAUGCAGAGGCCGAGGGUAAUCCUCCUUUUUAAAAGAAAAAAAAAGAGAUUAAUUUUGAUUGGCCUUUUUAAUAAGGUGGCCGCAUGCAUCGUUCUGAUGCAGAGGCCGGGGGUAAUCCUCCUUUUUAAAAGAAAAGAAAAGAGAUAAUGUAAGAAAAUGGCAUUACCACUACACUGCUGAAUCUCGAGUUUGUGUAUAAUACAUCAACAGAGUAGUCAUGCGCUUGAAGCAUGCUUCUUUUGUAUACAGUUCCGCGUCAGCUCCCACCAAGGGGAUUUCUUUCGACAUCCUAACAGUUGUUCUUCUAGGGUACCCACUGUGGUCUCGAACCGAGACCGGUGGAGCGCGAGCCGGAGGGCUAUCUUCUCACCAUUCAAUUAGGCAGCAAACUCCUAGUCGACAUCGUGGUUGGGUCCGGACCGGCAGACUCUGAUCCAGUGCUCGACAUGGCGGAGAUGGCUGAAAAAUGGAAAGGAGAUGUCUGGCGCGGAGCGGACAAUGAGAGUAGCUAAGGUUUGGUCCGAGAUGGUGAUAGGGGUGGGGUUUGGUGGGAUUGGGGUGGGCCAGUCCGACGUGGUAGAUGUGUCCGGACAGUCCCAAAUCUAUCCCACAUAUGGGCUGGAAAUUGAGGUGACAGAUAGCCCCGACUUAUAGGGUGGAAAUGGGGGUCUAGUUGGGUGGCGAUUUUCUAUCUGGAUCAUUUCUGGGCAGUCCCUAGUAUGUCCCAUGUACGGGCUGGCAUAUGGGAUGGAAAUGGGGCCUGAUUGGAUGGCCACUUUCUAUCUAGGUCGUGUCUGGGCAGUCCCAAAUAUGUCCNNNNNNNNNNNNNNNNNNNNNNNNNNNNNNNNNNNNNNNNNNNNNNNNNNNNNNNNNNNNNNNNNNNNNNNNNNNNNNNNNNNNNNNNNNNNNNNNNNNNNNNNNNNNNNNNNNNNNNNNNNNNNNNNNNNNNNNNNNNNNNNNNNNNNNNNNNNNNNNNNNNNNNNNNNNNNNNNNNNNNNNNNNNNNNNNNNNNNNNNNNNNNNNNNNNNNNNNNNNNNNNNNNNNNNNNNNNNNNNNNNNNNNNNNNNNNNNNNNNNNNNNNNNNNNNNNNNNNNNNNNNNNNNNNNNNNNNNNNNNNNNNNNNNNNNNACCAUGACAUGUGGGAUGGAAAUCCGGGUUUGGUAGGGUGGCGAUUUUCUAUCUCGGUCAUGUCUAGGCUGUUUGCCCAAACAAAUCGGGGGGAAUUUUAGGGGUCUAAUUUGAAGAUGCUCUGACUCCUAGACUAGCGAUCUUCAUAGUUCCAGACUGUGCUCCAUCGGAAUCUUUCGUAAGCAUCUCUUAGUGACUCGAAACAUUGCAAGAGCCCUGCGCUCACGAAAGACUAUACCUUUUUAGGGACUACCAGAGGCCCUGGUGACAUAAUAGAAGGAUGAGGGAAGGAGGAAGAGAGGAUAGUACUAAAUGUGAUAAAAAAUUUAACAUUUGGGGAUCUGAAAUAUUUCUGGGAAUAUAUAUUUCCUUCUAAAAAGGUAAUUCAUAUGAAAUGGUUGAAAGUGAAAGUAGUGGGAAGCAAAGGAAGGUUAUGGCUUGAAGAAUUUCCAUGAUCUAAUCUCGAAAUGAUUAGUGCAUUUCUACAAGAUUCAUGGAUUUACAAACGGAGAAAAAGAAAAGAAACGUUGAAAAUAAAAAAAAUAAAAAAAAUUGACAGCUGUGGGAUUUGAAGCCACGCCCUUUCGGACCAGAGCCUAAAUCUGGCGCCUUAGACCACUCGGCCAAACUAUCUUUAUUAAUUGUUGUAUUAAUUUGUAUAUAUAUAUCCUAAUCACAACUGGUAGCCUGUUAUUUGUUUUGUGGGAACUUGUAGCGUUAAAGAAAUAACAGGCUAUGUGACCCAAAUAUCUAUUAUUAAUUGUUGUAUUAAUUUGUAUAUAUAUAUAUCCUAAUCACACCUUCUCAAACUUAUAGCCCAAAGUGUCUUGCUUCCAGCAUCUAGAUAUUUGGGUCUAUGUGGGCAAAAAAACAUUAGUGGAGAUGCUAACUGGUAACUUCUCAAACUUGUGAUAAUCUCUGUGUAGUAUCACAAUUUCUUUGUGUGGGGGAGCUCUCCAAAUGAUGAGGGUAACUACAAACUGAUGUGACUGAUGGACAACGAGAGGUUUCCAAAUUAUUGAUAACCUAUUAGAAACUAUAGAUAUGAUGUGCAACAUCAUUAGAGCAAUGUGACUCAUCUGAUUUAGGCGGGUUUAAUGGUUAAUUGUGACCCUCAAGAUCCGAGUAAAUUGCAGAAAACCACCAGUUUGAAGGUUAGGUUUGCGAAAAACACUACAAUACAUUAUUUUUGCAGAAAACACUAGGUCUCCAGUAAUCCUUUUGCAAAAACCACUGAUCGGCGGAUUUGGCUCGGUUAAGCAAGCUUAUGACAAUUGGGGCCCCUUUUUGCCUAUGUGGCAUAACAUUUCAUGCUAGGUCAAUUUUAAUCUAAUUUUACAAACUAGUCCAUACAUUUUACACAGACACCCCUAAAUCAAAAAGGAAAAAAUGCAAUCAGAUCCUCGCCACAGGUUGGGGCGGUCAACGCAGCCUGCGCUGGGCGCCUUCUCGCGCAGGAGGCCAAAUCGGGCCAGCGGCGGCAUCCCUCGCCGGAUCCAGCAGCCGGCGCUGGGCGCCUCCUCGCGCUGGAGGCCAAUCGGGGUGGUGGGGUGGCGGCGCGGCAUACCUGGCCGGAUCCGGCAGCCGUCGCAGGGCGUCUAUUCGCGCUGGAGACCAAAUCGGGGCGACGGCGCGACCUCCCUCGCCGGCUCCGGACGUGGCGGCGCUGGGGGCUAAAAAAGGGUGACAGCGCAGCGCGACAACCCUCGCCGGAGGUGCGACGCCUGGAGCGUGUGCGCGCACCGCCGUCGACAGCUCAUGUGGAGUGGCGUCGGGAGGCUUGCUCGAGGUGGGCUCUUACCCGCCUGGGCGGUGCAUGGCGGCGGUGGCGCGGCCGAGGAGAGGCGGUUGCGGCCGGCAGAGCUGCGAGCACGGCGGCGGCUGGCGCAUGGUGGUCACCGGCGCCAUCGAGGCGGCUGACUGUGUGGCAGGACAUGGCAAGGGCCUGGGCAGCACAAGGCAAAAAACUUAUGGGUGUUUUUUCUUUUUUACCCGUCUAACGCUGUCUUGGGUAAAAUGUUAUGCCAUGUCAGCGAAAAAUGGGACCCUUCUGUCAUAAUCUUACUUAACAGCGCAAGAUCCACCGAUCAGUGGUUUUUGCAAAAAGAUUACUGAAGAUGUGGUGUUUUCUGAAGAAAAAAAUGUAUUGUAGUGUUUUUCGCAAACCUAACCUUCAAACUGGUGGUUUUCUGCAAUUUACUCCUCAAGAUCCGGCGCAACUUGUGCUUUUUAUGUUGGUAGUACAAGUAGUAGAUGUGGAGUGUAUAUUCUACUCCCUCCGUUUCUAAAUAUAAGUCUUUGGAGAGAUUCCACUAUGGACCACAUACGGAGCAAAAUGAGUGAAUCUAUACUCUAAAAUGCAUCUAGAUACAUCCGUAUGUGGUCCAUAGUGAAAUCUCUAUAAAGACUUAUAUUUAGGAACGGAGGAUGUUUUAAGGAGUUGGCAAGGUAUGCAAGAUAAUUUUGCUUCUAUCAAAUUCUCUAGAGAUCACACGCAAACAACCAGAAAAUUGUCUAUGGAGGUCACACAAAGACAACCAAAAAAUGUUAUCUAGGGUCCUCUCACACACAAGCAACAAAACAUAGGCACACAUAAGUCAAUAACUGAGCAAAUUUGACCUCAAGUGAAGGAUCUAAACAAAACCUUCUCACUACAUUCCAUUCACUUCUUAGUACCAUCCUACAAGUGCAGAUUCUGAAUACACAAGUGGCAACCAAUCAAAUAGAAAUGAUGUCUAUCAUCAACACACUAGAUUAUAUUUAUAUGUUUACGAGCAAUUCAGGCAAAGAUUAUGCGAGGAAAAACACCGGCAAGAAAAGAGGUUAAUGUAAGAAAAUGGCAUUGCCACUACACUGCUGAAUCUCGAGUCUGUGUAUAAUACAUAAACAUAGUAGUCAUACGCUUGAAGCAUGCUUCUUUUGUAUGCAGUUCCAUGUUAACUCCCACCAAGGGGAUUUCUUUCGACAUCCUAAUAGUUAUUCUUCUCGGGUACUCACUGUGGUCUCAACCCGAGACCGGUGAAGCGCGAGCCGGAGGGCUAUCUUCUCCUCGUUCGAUCAGGCGGCAAACUCCCAGUCAACGUUGUGGUUGGAUCUGGACCUGGCGGACUCUGAUCUGGUGCUCGACAUGGCGAAGACGGCUGAAAAGGGAAGGAGAUGACCGUGGGCGGAGCGGACAAUGAGAGUAGCUAAGAUUUGGUCCAAGAUGGUGAUAGGGGUGAGGUUUUGUGGGGUCAUGUAGGCCAGUCCGAAGUGAUAGAUGUGUCUGGACAGUCUCAAAUCUAUCCCACAUAUGGGCUGGAAAUUGAGGUGCCAAACAGCCCUGGGUGGGUGCUAAUUUUCUAUCUGGGUUGUGUCUGAGAUGUCCCAAAUCUGUCCAAGAUGGUGAUAGGAUCGGAGUGAGGUUUUGUGGGGUCGGGUAGGCCAAUCCGGCGUGACAUAUGCGUCUGGGCAGUCUCAAAUCUGUCCCACAUAUGGGCUGGAAAUGGAGGUUUUAAACAGCCCUGGUUGGGUGGCAAUUUUCUAUUUGGGUCGUGUCGGAGCUGUCCCAAACCUAUCCCACAUAUGGGCUGGAAAUGGGAGUGCCAAACAGCCCCGACAUAUGGGAUGGAAAUAGGGGUCUGGUUGGGUGGCCAUUUUCUACCUGGGUCGUGUCUGAGCUGUCUGUCGGAACAAAUAGGGGGAAUUGUAGGGGUCCGGUUUGAAGAUGCUCUUACUCCUAGACUAGGAACCUUCACAAUCCCAGACUGUGCUGCAGCGAAAUCUUUUGUAAGCAUCUCUUAGUGACUCAAAAUAUUGCAAGAGCCCUGCGCUCAUGAAAGACUAUACCUUUAUAGUGACUACAAGAGGCCCUGGGCAUAAUAGAAGGAGGGAAGGAGGAAGAGAGGAUAGUACUAAAUGUGAUAAAAGUUUAACAUUUCUAGGAAUAUAUAUUUCCUUCGAGGUUUUUUAACAUGCUCCCUAGUAUAAAAUAGAUCUGAGCCAUUGAUUGCAUUGAGUAGUGGAUUUGAUUAACUCUUACGUUCUUACCUCCUAUGUGAAAAGAGGGGGUAAGAGGGAGCAUGUUAAAAUUGCUCAUUUCCUUCUAAAAAGGUAAUUCAUUUUUUUUGAAACGAGGCAAAAGAUUCGCCAUUUUCAUUGAUUGAGAGAGAAGUUUAAGAGAUUAGGGCCCAUGGUCAAAUUACAACAAUCCUAGCAACGAUAACUCCAACCGGGACAGUAGUAUUACGAGGCAUUCCUCUCGUUCCACAACUCCCAAGAGAUAAGAAGCAUCAAGGAAGCAAGUGGUCUUCGCGAUUGGGGUGACAAGACUUUUCGAACAAUUUGUGACAAGGCCAGUGACAUCCCCAAAGUGCUUGAGAGUGUCAGUGAAAAACUGGACGUCAUAUGAAAUGGUUGAAAGUGAAAGAAGUGGGCAGAAAGGAAGGUUAUGGCUUGAAGAAUUUCCAUGAUCUAAUCUAGAAAUGGUUAGUGCAUUUUGACAAGAUUCAUGGAUUUACAAGAGGAUAAAAAGGAAAGAAACGUUGAAAAUAAAAUAAAAUAAAAUAAGAAGAGGAGAAAAAGAAAAGGAACAUCGAAAAUAAAGGCAACCCAAGGUAUUUCAUCGGAAAGGAGGAAAGCUUGGCCGGGAAGGAUUGGAGGAUUGUGUCUUCUUGGUAUCAUUGUGGCUCCACCACUCUUUAGCGGAAGUCGCGUCACUCCAAUCACUAGGAUGCACAUCAUGGAGACCCAGCCAAUCUUUGAUCAUGUGCCAAACUCUCAUAGUGCAUCUGCAUUGGAAUAGAAGGUGGGCCGCUGACUCUUGAACCUGCUUACAUAGGGGACAAAGGUUACUGUGUGGCCACCCAUGACAUUGAAGCCUAUCCGCUGUCCAGAUCCUAUUGUUGAUUGGCAACCAAGCGAAGAACUUGCAUUUAAGAGGCGCCCAAACCUUCCAAACGGUCGAUAUCAUCUCAGUGUCAGUACGGCCAAAGAACUGCGCGUUGUAGGUCGACGUCGCCGAGUAGUGUCCAUCAAUGGUGAACUUCCAAGUGAUAGUGUCGGGCAUGUUGAUGUCGAGGUGGAUAUGGGAGACCUUCUCCCAAGGGGUGACAAAUUCAGAGAGGUGUUCGACAGUGAUGCCGCGAAGGAUGUCCACCUGGGAAGUCCAAAAGUUGUCGUGCAGAGCCAUUAGAACUGAGCAAUUCUUCUUCUUCGACAAUUCAUAUAUUUUAGGGGCCAUGUCUUUGGGCCCAAUCCCUUCUAGCCAAGGAGACUCCCAAAACUUGGCAUGCAAGCCAUUGCCAACUUCAACCUUGGUAGCUCCAGCAAAAAUAUUUCGGUCGGUGUCAUCACAAGGGGUUCCCAAGCCAACCCAUGGCUUGUCCGGGUGGAGCCACUCGGCCCAUAGCCACCGGAGACGAAGGGCGAUGGCAACCUUGUCAUGAUUUAGGAUUCCCAGGCCUCCAUGCAGUUUGGACUUGCGCACUUGUUCCCAGUUUAUCUUGCAUUUUCCACCUGUGACUUUAUCACAACCUACCCAAAGGAAAGCACAUCUGAGGGCAUCAAUCUUCUUCUUGACCUCCAACGGUAAAUCUAGCACCAUCAUAUAGUAGACAACAAUCGCCGUGAGGAAAACCUACUUGACCAAGACCGCCUGACCUGCCGAGGCAAUGUGCCUUCCCACCCAAGGGGUGAGCUGACCCGCAAUCUUGUCCUCGAGGGGCUGGUAGUGAAUUCUCUUCAACCUCUUGACUGAUAAAGGCAACCCAAGGUAUUUCAUCGGGGAGGAGGAAAGCUUGGCCAGGAAGGUUUGGAGGAUGUCCGGAAGAUCAACAUUUUCACAACGGAUUGGGGUGACAAGACUUUUCGAACAAUUUGUGACAAGGCCAGUGACAUCCCCAAAGUGCUUGAGAGUGUCAGUGAAAAACUGGACGUCAUAUGAAAUGGUUGAAAGUGAAAGAAGUGGGCAGAAAGGAAGGUUAUGGCUUGAAGAAUUUCCAUGAUCUAAUCUAGAAAUGGUUAGUGCAUUUUGACAAGAUUCAUGGAUUUACAAGAGGAUAAAAAGGAAAGAAACGUUGAAAAUAAAAUAAAAUAAAAUAAGAAGAGGAGAAAAAGAAAAGGAACAUCGAAAAUAAAGGCAACCCAAGGUAUUUCAUCGGAAAGGAGGAAAGCUUGGCCGGGAAGGAUUGGAGGAUGUCCGGAAGAUCAACAUUUUCGCAACAGUUUGGGGCGACAAGACUUUUGGAACAAUUUGUGACUAGGACAGUGACAUCCCCCAAAGUGCUUGAGAGUGUCAGUGAAAAACUAGACGUCAUAUGAAAUAGUUGAAAGUGAAGUUAUGGUUUGAAGAAUUUCCAUGAUCUAAUCUAGAAAUGGUUAGUGCAUUUUUACAAGAUUCAUGGAUUUACAAGAGGAGAAAAGAGAAAAGGAACGUUGAAAAUAAAACAAAAUAAAAGGAGGAGAAAAAGAAAAGGAGCGUUGAAAAUAAAACAAAAUAAAAGGAGGAGAAAAAGGAAAGGAGCGUUGAAAAUAAAACAAAAUAAAAAGAGGAGAAAAAGAAAAGGAACGUUGAAAAUAAAACGAACAAAAAGGUAUGACAGCUGUGGGGUUUGAACCCACGCCCUUUCGGACCAGAGCCUAAAUCUGGCGCCUUAGACCACUCGGCCAAACUGUCUUUGGUGACAACAUGUCUGUAUUGGCCUAUAUAUUGUCGGCAACCAUAACUCGUAGUGUUAAAUGUACACUUUUCCAGGUGAAAACGCAGUCUUGCUUCCAGAGUUCCAGCAUGUAGAUAUUUUGGCCUAUCCAUGGUUCAUAUGCUAACAGGCAACUUCUCAAAGUAGUGGUCAUGUAUGUGUAUUACUCCCUCUUUUCUUCUUAAUGAAUGCAAAGAAUCUGCCAUUUCGAAAGAAAUGUUGGAACGCUUAUUUUGGAACGGAGGGACCUCCGAAUAAUUGAUAACCAAUUAGAAACUAUACAAUGCGAUGUGCAGCAUCACCAUAUCAAACACGAGUCGUCUGAUUUAGGCUCUCUCAGAUCCACCACAACCCAACCGAAAUAUGCUAUCUAGAGAGAUCACACACAAACAACAAUAAAAAGAAGCUCUCCAAAUAUCACACCAAAGAAUGUUCUCUAAAGAUCACACACACACAAACAAAAAAUUGGGGCACACAUAACUGAGCAACUUUAGCUUCAGGUCCAACAUCUAAACAAAAUCUUGUCACUUCAUUCCAUCCAAUAGCUCAUACCAUUCUCCAAGUGCAGAUUCUGGAUGCACAAGUGGCAAACCAACCAUAGAAAGACUGCCUCGCGUCCAUCGACGGCGCCAGAUCAUAUGCUUUACACGACCGGUUCAGCACGGAUUACCAACUAGAUUACCAAAUCUCGGGUACGCGUAUACGUAAAUACAGUAGUCAAGCGCGCUUCUUUGUACACAGUUUCACGUUAGCUCCCUCCCGCCAAGGGAUUUCUUUUCCACAUCCUAACAGGCGUUCUUCUCUCGGGCACUCCUUGUGGUCUUGUGUGAGCCUUUACCACUCCUCGUCCAGGGUAGCCCUGUGGAAGCACAGCACCGUGCACACGAGGAUGAAGAAGGACGUGAACUCGAUGAACAUGGCCCCCGUCUCGAUCAGGCCAGCAUGCCUCAGGAUCGCCGGGAUUGCGAGGCUUCCCAUGGCAGACAUGCCGGUCAGGAACUUGGCUGCUUUCAUCCACCUGAAAAACGAUAUGCCCUGUCUGAUUACAAUCUUUAUGGUAGCGAAUGUGUGGAUCAGCAUCCUAAGUUGUGAUUGCCUAUUGCCUAUCAUGUGCUCUGUGCCGAUAUACAUGUUCACAUUACUACUUCUCCAAAGGAAAGAGAAUCAUCAAGUUAGAACUUACGCUCCACCCUCUCCGCUACUCAAGAACCGUGUGGAUCCGUCGCCAAAGAACAGGCAUGGCAUUGGCACAAUGAUAUACAUGAGUGCUGCAGAACAGAAAAAGCACGCACAAGAACGUCAGUGGAAAAGUCACAGGGACUUGCUCACGGUGAUUGAGGAUAAGAAACUAGCAGUCACCUGCUAACAUAGGCCACCAGUUGUUGUACAAAGCACAUGCCUGCACCAAGAAAAUGAAGAGUCAGAGAAUUCAGAAGUAACAACUUGGUCAAAUAACAAGGGAUGGCAAUCUGAUGCUGCUCAAUAACCUCCAUAUAAAAUAAUUACUACAGUAGGCGUGCAUGUCGAUACAAUCAGACCAAUCUUUGUGUGCAUCGACUCCUAUAACUGAAUAACAAGAGUAACCCUGAAGUGACCAGCAACCAUGUCACAAUAUUACUCUUUCGUACAUUCCUUGCCUCUUUGGCACAAUCACACAAUAGAAUACUGGGCAUGAAUGAAUUGCAGAAACAAAACUUGAAAUCAAUCUGUCAGGUUGUCCUCAAAGUUACUGAAACUGACAGUGAGUAAAACAAUUGCUGCCACUGUACCAUCUUUCAGAAACCUGAUUCGGUGAGCUCUAGGCAUGGAUGUACAUAUAGCUUACCAGGAUUUGCAAAAGAACGCUGGUGGAGAACAUACACGCAAGUCCAGCGAGCCUGUAACAGAAAAUUAUAAUAAGAUGACACACUUGUCAAACGCAAAACAAUGGUUAAGAGCCAUCAGAAUGAUGAACUUACACUGCAAAGACGCACGCCAAGAGUAAGUUGACAGAAUCAUCCAGCAGCAGCAAGGACGAAAGCAAAGCAGACGAGGAACACACAAGUUAGUCAAACACUUGAAGCAAUUAGCAGGAUACAAGAAAGAUAGAUAUUAUCAAGAACUGCUCAGAGUGCAAGAACGUAAUAUAGAUGCUGAAACUGGACUGUACUACCAGAGGGUAACUGCUCAUUACAUAGCCUUAAUUCAUGAAAAUGGGGGUAAGCCAAACCGUGUUUCAUAUUUAAUGGAACCCCUUUAUUCCUAUGUUAAUGUUUGCUCAUUACACAUAAGGCAGACACAAGACCGAACGGAUAUAUCAGUUGAGCCAGGAAUUUCCCACGACGCAAAACCACAGAGCUCUAGCCUGAACUGAUAGCAGGUAUGAAACUCCAGGCCAUGCUGCUAUAAUGGUAUAACCCACACUCGCGUACAUCCUGCCACUACUCGCAUGCUGAAUCGUCGGAAUCUGCGCCAUCUUGAUCAGAGCCCCGUACCGAGGCGAACGGCUAAUGAACGGUCCAUACACCAGAGGCAAAAUCCCCAGCUACCGCCCCGUCUGUAGCCCAUUGAUAAGAUGCAAGCGAACUGGACGCGUCACGGUUGACCCCUGCUCCACGCAAAUCUAGGCCCCUGGCAGCACAGCCGACGACCCCUUUCUCCUGAGGAAAGCGCACUGAUCUGACUGAGCAAAAUCACGCUCCCCUACAGAUUACCAAUCGCCGGCAGCCUCGCCCACGCUACCUACGUGUACAGAGCACCCGGACCAGCGCCGCACCGGAGCUCCGACCAACCGGAUCUCCCCGCGCCCUGGCUCGCCAAUUCGCGACCCCACGCCCACACCACGAACCCUAGCCGCCCGAUCCCCGCGCCGCAGCAAAUCCCGAAUGCGAGGGCAACCCGAUCAGCCAGGCAACAGGAGUUGGGUAAGGGCAAGAAGAGGGAUCCUCACCUUCCACGGUCAUCGCCAUCUCCGGCGGGCGGCGGGCGGAGCGGGUCUUCCCGGCGGUCUGUCGUCUCCUCCUGCUUUCCUCUCCUCUCCGACUCCAAUAAACUCCUCUGACCGACCGACCGACCGAGCGAGCCCAAGGAAACAACCGAGACGCGCCUGGCAGGUGGGCCCGGUCGGGUUGGUGGGGCGGGCCCGCAUGUAAGCAGGGCCCGAAAGCCUUGGUGGGCUUUGUGGGGUUGUGGCGCUAGGGCAAAAGAUCUCGGGGUUUCUUUGUUUGGGCUUUUGGAGUAGGAGCGGCGGCGGCGGCGGCGGCGGCGGAGAGAGAGGAGGCCAGCAGCCAUGGUGCGGCUGACGCUGGAGCAGACGGCGAGGGAGGCGGCGCCGGCCGGCUGCCUCGCCACGUUCCUCGACCUCUCCCACCGCUCCUUCACCGACGUAAGUCCCUCCCUCUCGCCCGCCGCCUCGGCUCGCCGGCUUUGCUCAUCUCUCUCUGUCGUCGUUGCUGAUAGGUGUCGUGCCUGGGGAGCUUCAAGAACCUGGAGCGCCUCGACCUCGGCCACAACUGCCUCCUCACGCUCGAGGUACCGCCAACCGCAACCCCAACCACAUCCUCCGCACGCCCAAUCUCAAAUGCCACGCACUGGGUCCAAACAUAUUCUUGAUGUGGAUUGCUGGAUAGAAACAGAUAGAUAAUUAUUCUUCCCGGCAUUCCACCUCUUUGGGUUGGAUAUAUGCAAGUACCUAUGCCGCCGCCGUUGUCGACUUGUUCUAGCUCUUGUUGUCGGAAGAAAUGCAUCCGUGCUGCCACCAUUCUCGUCUGAAUUUACUUUCGCGACCAACAAUGGUAGAUAACAGGGAAGCAACUGUAGGUGUAAAAUGAUGCUACAGCGCGCUAAUUCGAAGAUGCGCUCAGAUUAGGAUUUACCAACUUGUUGUGGCUUAUGGAUGAUGAUGAUAGGUGAUAGCUGCUCUGCUUGUUCCAUGGGACUGUAAACUCUACUUGCUGUUAUCUUCAUUUGAGCCUCUGAGUGUCUUCUUAUUGUCACUUAUGUCCAUGCUUUUUUACAUGUUGAAGGGUUUGUCCGCGUGCACCAAUCUCAAAUGGCUCUCGGUUAUCGAAAACAAGCUCGUGAGCUUGAAAGGUGCCGAGGUCCUCUCGAAGCUGCAGGUGAGAAGCUUUCCUGGCCCUGCAUUUCCAUCUGAUUGAACCCAUCCAGGAUUUAAUUCUAGCUCACUACUUUUUUAGGGGAGAAUUUAGCUCAUUGCUUGAAUCAUAAAUUCAUAAUACAGCGUUUUUCUUAUCCUGGCUUGUGCAGGUACUGAAUGCUGGCAAAAAUAAAUUGACAAGAAUCGAUGAGGUCAAAUCUAUGACAAGCCUGGGAGCCUUGAUUCUCAACGGUAAUGUGGUUUAUGAAUGCUAUACACUCUCUACUACUCUUCUUUCCCUGUUGUUAGCUUACUUAAAUUUACUCAUGUCGGAUCUUGGUAAUUUUUCGUGCAGAUAACAACAUUACUUCCAUCUGCAAGCUUGAUCCCCAUCAUCAGUUGAAUACUCUUGGUAUGCAUUUUGAUAUGGCACUUAUUUAUUACUCCCUCUGUCCCAUAAUAUAAGAACGUUUUUGACACUAUGCUAAUGUUAAAAACGUUCUUAUAUUUUGGGACGGAGAGAGCACUACCUCUGUUCCUAAAUAUAAGACGUUUUUGCAGAACAUCUAUAUUUAGGAACAGGGGUAGUACAAUGGACUGCAGGACCAUGUCCCUUCACUCUCUUGAAGCACACUGCAUACAUUCAAUGUUUUUUUUUCAUGCACGAUGUAAUCUUACUUCACAGUUCUCGCUGAUAAUAUGAAGAAAUCAAACAGUUCUGCUGUUGUAAAGAAGAGUAUCUUUUAUACACUAGAAGUACAGAAUACCAACCUUGUCAAAUGCAAUAUAAGUGAACUUGUUAAUUGUAAUUCAUGCUUUUCUGUCUCCGUGAACUUGUUACUUGUUAUUCAUGCUUCUGUCUCCCUGAACUUAGUUAAUUGUGAAUGUUUGCUCUGCCACAGUUCUCUCUAAGAAUCCAGUUAUUACUUUUGGUGAUGCUUUGGUCAAUGCAAAGUCUAUCAAAAAGGUACUUGUUCUUUAUUUAAUCUACAAAAAAGAAUCUUCUGGUGACUGACUCUGUUAUGUAGCAUUUCUAAUUGUUUUCACUAUUGUCUUAUUGUUACAACCCCCGCCAGAUAUCCAUGUCUCACUGUGAAAUAGAAAGCAUUGGAUCUUCCCUUGCUGCAUGUGUGGAACUGAAGGAACUUCGGCUUGCUCACAAUAAGAUCACUGUAUGUACAUGGAGGGCAAUUUUAUUUACUUGUCUCCUGCACAUUAAUUGCUAUUGUUACUUGUUAACAUGGCCUUAUCCACCUCUGACUUGCAGACGAUUCCAUCAGACUUGGCCAAAAAUACCAAAAUCUUGAACCUUGACUUGGGAAAUAACUUGAUUGAGAGGGAGUCAGAUCUGAAGGUUUGCAUCUGACUUCGUCCCCACAUGUUUAACACCAUAGUUUGUGUAGAUUGUUUUAACCGUUGGUUUGGUUGCUAGGUCCUUUCUGAACUGCGCUACUUGAGGAACCUAAAUUUGCAGGGAAAUCCUAUUGCUGAGAAAGGCACCCUAGCUAAAAAGGUGACCUCUCUCUCCGACUUCUCUUUGUUCCAGAGUGUAUUGUAAUUGUAGUUCCUGAGUAACUUAUAAAUGUUCUCUCAGGUCAUGAAAAUUGUGCCGAACUUGCGCAUUUUCAAUGCAAAGCCCAUAGAAGCCAUUUCCCAGAAUGAGAACUCUGGGAAAGGGAGUAAGCUGAAGAAGGAUGAAGAGAUGCCUGAUCGUGACCCCAUCGAUUCUAAUACGAAAAAGGAGAAAAGGAAACGGUCAAAGCAACAAGUGCAAAGCCCUGAAGAACCUGCUGCCAAAGACAUUCCUCCAGCUGCCACCAUUGAUGCCCCAGUUAAAUCCGCAUUGUCGGAUAGUAAGAAAAAGAAAAAGGAGAAGGUAGUCACGGAGCAGGACAAGAGCAGCAAAACGAAAAUCAAGGAUUAUAAAGCUUCUUUCGAUGAUACCGAAUUAAAGGCCAAGAAGGAAUCCAAGAAGAAGAAAUCUGCCAACAAAGAAGAUAAGGAUGCGGGAGGAAUCGAUGACACGGAGGUGUCGUUUGCAGAGUUGAUGUUUUCUGGAGACGGCGCCGUCCCAGAGCCCACGGCGAAGGACAAGGCCCAGGCAACUGCUGUGGAUGGGAAAUUUGUCGGGGGCCUGGUGAUUGAUCACUCCAAGAAGAGGAAGAAGGCGAAGGGCACCCCUAUCGACGCGUCGGAUCUUAAGCAGUUGUGCUCUGCGCCCGAGGUGGGUGCGGGUGGACUGUCGGGAUGGGAUUAGUGGUGCCUGGUGGGCUUUGAGAGACGAUGUGUAUGCCCAGUGAGUAGUGUUAGUAAACUCCUGUUCUAGGAUCUCUGUUGCGAUGAGAGCCUUUGUAGGCAGCAUCUGAAUUUCUUUCGACAGUUCUUUUGCACCUGAAAUAUGUGACCUGACUUUAAAAUGUUUGUUCGAAUUUUGUGAAACUUGAGACGAUGAUAACUGGAUUCCAUGGUUGACCGCUCAUAAUUUUAUGAAACUUGAUAUGAUGAAAAAUAUCGCUAGUUAUAGAAUUUUGUCGACAGAGUUCUUAUUUUAGUUGUUU